CACAAUCGCAGACAAGAAAAGGCAUUUCUAUCAUAGGGCCGGCCAUGUGCGGGCCACAAAAUGCGGAACGCUCACGGCCGGUAUCCGUGUUUGGCAGACCGUCUGAAUGGAGCCUUAGAGUGCAAUUCAUGACAAGAAACCAAUGAAUUCAUGGCAAUAUCCACUACAGGAGACGUUCAUCUUGGUCCAGUAACCGCGCAGAGCCGUCUACAUUGCGCUGCUGCACGGUUUAUGUUGACAGCACAGACCACAUCUAAGCUGCCAACUGAGCAGAGUGUCUGCCGUGCAGAUUUGUUCCACGGUCCCGCUAGCUCCAGUCAUUAACCUUCUGUUUCUCUAGAGAAGAGGAUUCUGAACACUACUCAUUCAGAAAGUCCACCGAAAAGGUCAUGAAAAUGCAUCAAAACGGUGCAAUAACAGAGGAACAGCACAAUAUGGAGCUCUGAAAAAAAAAGUACUCCAAUAUUAUUUCAUGAAAGAUUCAAAGAGUCAAGAUUGGUGCCAGGUCCUGUGAAGGGAGGCUCUGUAUGAGAAAGAAUAUGAAGAUAUAUUAUCAACUGAUCAGCACAGAACUUUGGACCUGAACAAAGGGAUAUUCUUGUAUCAGCAAAUAAAGAGUAUCCAUUGUAUAAUGAAGCGUUAGACAUUUCCCGUAUUCUUUCUGUAUCAGUACCUUACGGUUUGCAGCAUCUCUUCUUGCUGUCAUUGCAUCCGGACCUUUAUAAUGUUAUACAGUAGGUAACCUUUAUUUGCAGAAACUGUGAUGCCUCAUAGGAUGGGCAUGGACUUUACUCUCAUAGGAUGGACAUGGACUUUACUCUCAUACGAUGGACAUGGACUUUAAACAUAGUUGCCUUCUUUAAAGAGUGAAUCCGGUGUGGAAGUAGAUGUGGUCCUCCAUAGUUCACGACAGAAUGGUUAAGGGAGGCUGUCACGUGGAAGUUUACUGAUAUCUUAUAGGGCUAGCUCAGCUGAAUGUAAUGAUAUCUUUCACAUAACCAUACUUAGUUUCAUUCUGGAGAAAAGUAGUUUUAAUAUAUAUGCAAAUGAGCAGGUAAGUGCACCGAAGGCGGGCUCAAGCCACUCUGUGCACCCUUACUCCUCCCGUUUCCUCUGCCCGCUCUUUCCUCUCCUUCAUUUACAGGACCAGGUUCCUGCACAGUCAUCUCGCCUGCUCCUGUCAGUCAAGCAGAAGAGGGAGGCGCUGGCACAGUAAGCAGGAAGAGCAAGGGUGCACAGAGUUGACUCAUUGCACUCCAGAAUAAAGCAACAGAUCGCUAGCCCUACAAGUGAAUUUCCUGGUGACAGAUUCCGUUAUUGUCCUCAGUACUGGCAUGUCUACAGUCUAUACAGAAAAAUCUCCCAUUACCUGGUUUAUUACUCCGUUAUGUGGUGCUGAGGUGGGGGCUGCAGAAUACACGAGUUUCUCUGCAUUAGCUUUCAUACAUAUGUGUCUGUAACAAAAUGACCAAAGCUUACGGGUCAGUGAUCCGGAGGCCAGGUGACAACCUGCGUCUGUGUGGAAUAAGUGUAAAAAAAAGUCCUAAAAACAAUAAGAAGUGUCGUAGAUUACAGUUAUUGUGUUCCUUAUCUUAGUAUGAGGCCUCUUGUCUUGUGUUACUUGUUUCAUGGAGCCUCCACAAUAUUGUAUCAUUUCAUUGUCCUACAUGUUACGGUUUUGUGUAAUGUA